rnacentral:rRNA from 1 species
UUGAGAAAUAAAGUAAAGCUUCGGCCGGUAUAAGAUGAGUGUGCGUCCCAUUAGAUUGUUGGUGAGGUAACGGCUCACCAAGUCGACGAUGGGUAGCUGGCGUUGAGAGCGCGACCAGCCACACUGGCACUGAGACACGGGCCAGACUCCUACGGGAGGCAGCAGUAGGGAAUAUUGGUCAAUGGACGAAAGUCUGAACCAGCCAUGCCGCGUGGAGGAUGACUGCCCUCUGGGUUGUAAACNCCUUUUAUAUGGGAAGAAACCUCUGGAUUCACUCCAGAGCUGACGGUAUCAUAUGAAUAAGCACCGGCUAACUCCGUG